UUUGUUUCUUCCAGUUUUAUUCAAUUCCAAACAGCGCUUUUAUGAACAUUUUAAUCCAUAUUUCCAGGUUCAGAUGAACAAGAAUAUCUCUUGGGUGGAUAUGCUUGAGAGUAGAAUUGCUGGGUAAUAUGAACCAAUGUUCAUUUUUACAAGUUAAUACUGUAUUGUUUUUGAAAUUGAUUGUACUGAUGCUUCUACAUGCAAUUUAUGAGAUCCUAUAGAUUCACUGCCUCACUAAUACUUGGAAUUAUUAAGAAGUGGAUUAGACUUCUUAAUUUUUGCUCAUCAAGUGGGUAUAAAAUAUCUCAUUAUGGUCUUGUUUUACAUUUUUUUAAAUUACCAAUUAGGAUCAGCAUCUCUUCCUGUGUUUAUUGGCCAUAUUUGUUUCCUCUCUUGUGAAAUGCCUGUUCUUUCUUUUGCCUCUUGCUUAUUGAUUUCUAAGAGUACUUCACUCUUGCUGCUAAUUCUUUGUUGGCUGUAUGUAAUGCAGAUAUAGCCUAUCUGUUUGUAACUUGUCUUUUCAUUAUGUUUAAGAUUUAUUUCAAUUUUCAGCAAACAGAACUAAUUAAUGUAAUUAAAUCUAUCAGUCUUUAAUGGUUAGUUUUUGUGUCUUUUUAAAGAAAUUCGUUUUUGUUCUAAAAUAAGAAAGCAGCCUUGUGCAGUGGAGCACACUUGUAAUCUCAGCUACUCAGGAGGCUGAGGUAGGAGGAUUGCUUGAGGCCAGGAGUUUGAGGCUAUCAUGUCCUGUGAUUUCAUCUGUGAAUAGCCACUGCACUCUAGCCUGGACAACAUAACUGAAACUCAUCUCUGGAAAAAAAUUUUAAAAUAAAAUAAGAAAGCUGUUCACCUAUAUUUUCUGCUAAAACUCUGGGAUCUUUUAAUAUGAGGUUAUUCAGCUUUUUUAAAUUCUGGAAAAUAUGUCUCAUUAUUUUUUACAAUUCUAUCACUCCUACUUCUGUCUGCUCUUAACUUUCUUUUAAAUACGAAAAAUAAAUUUUCUUCAUCCUUCACUGCUUCCUUCUGGGAGGUACCUCAUUUUGAUCUCCCAGCUUACUACUUCAGUCUUCAGCUAUAUCCAUUCUAAUAAUAACCCAUCUGCUGUGUUUUAAUUUCAACUCAUAUUUUUAUGCAUAAUAUUUCUACUUGAUUCUUGCAUUAUUUCUUACUCUGUAUCAUUUUACUAAUGCCUUCCCUCCUUAAGUAUUAUCAUGCUUGUUUUAAGUUCCUGGUCUGUCUAAUCUUUUUUUAAGCAAAGUACAGUUGCUUAAAAUAUAUGUGUUAUUCAGUUUGUUGUCUUUUGUGGGGCAGAUGAUAGACCUUCUCAGGUAUCUAGCUGUCUUGGCCUUUGAGCUGAUAUUCCCUUACAGGUACCAGCAACUACCUUUCCCUGCAGAGCAUCGUGGGCUGAGCCCUGGCCCACUGGUUUUAACUGUGUUUUGUUUGGUGUCUUGGGGUGUUUUUUGUUUUGUUUGCUGUCUGGAGUCUUUUGUUUUCUGCAGUCAUGGGAAACAGUUCAAAACAGCCCUCUAUCUGUGGGAUUUUCUCAUAUAUUCUGUGUUGUAGUUACUGUUUCCUGGAAUCCAUGUUUUCUUGUAGUUUUUCCAGGAUACUGGAGGAGACAGCCGGUAGCCUGUGCAUAUGUGCCAUCUUGACAAGAAGCGUAUUCUUCUUAGUUGUAGCUGCUUCUCUGAAUAAUUGAAAGAAGAGAUAUAGACAAUCACAGAAGAUGCAACUGACUUGUAAUACUGUUGAGGCUGCAGGAGAAAAGGGCAUUAAAAAUAUUCAUAAACCAGUGAGGUUGUUUAGAUGGGAGGAAAGAGGUGAGCCUAAUUAGCGCCCAUGUUCCCUUCCAAGCCUGUUCUGCAGUUGUCACUAAUACACAGUAGACAUCACUUUUUGCUGUUAGUGUGUUCCCGAACAAACUCUUUUUUAAUCCAACUAUUGUAAAGGCUAUAAAUGGCUUUGCUAGUUCAGUAACCCCAUGCUAAAUUCUUUUUUUCCUUGUUUUCAAUCCUGCUCCUUCUGUAUGUAAAUUCUUUUUUAAAGAAAAAAAAAUACCUUGAGAAAUAGGAUAGCACAAUGGUUAAGAAGCAUGGACUUUGCAGCUAGACUGCCUAGUUUAGAAUCCUGGCUCUGCCAUGUAUUAGUCAUGUGGCCUUGGUCAUGUUACUUAACCUUUCUAUACUUCUGUUACCUCACCUGUAAAAUGGGGAUAAUAACAGUACCUGUCUCAUAGAGUUGUGAGGGUUAAAUAAAUAUGUAAAAGUGUUUGGCACAUGGCUUGGCAUGUAGUAAGUGCUAUAAAAUGUUUGCUCUGAUUACUAUUAUUGUUGCUAUAAUUUACUCUGUUGACCUGGGCCUUUCAUAUGUUGGUAGGCUUUAAGGGAUUUUUCUCCAAGCAUUCGUCAUUCUGCUGCGUGAACACAUACCUUGUGAUUAGAUGUUUGACUAUUUAAACAGGCAAAACUAGGAAUACAUUUCUGCAUAUAUAUCAAUUUUACAUUCUUAGAGGGAUCAGAAUGUUUGAUUGCAGUCAACUACAAAGAGAUGGUCAUUGUUUCUCUUCCUAUGUGUUAAAGUAUCUGAAUGGAGAUAGCUCCAGAAAAUAGUCCUGGAUUGCAUUUCCUGAAAUAAGGAGACAGUUUCAUUAGGUUAACCAGAGGAUUGGAUAGUAGCCACAUACCAGGUUUUGAAGGUAGUGAUUGUUCCUCAGGGGUUGUGCUUUACACAGCUCGGAUUUCCUAAAAGAUAAUCAUUACAUGAAGUACUUUAACUCAGUAGCAUUUAGUUGUGGCUUAGAAAUGCUGAUAUCAUACACUUUAUUUUUCGGUUCUCUUGUUUCUUACUCCUGUCUCUACUUCUCCAGCUUUAGAAUUUGAGUCAUUUAAGUAUGUGUUUGCUUCAUUCCUGUUUGGGGGCUGAUUUGUACUCUUCAAAGAGUUUUGUCAGCUUUAGAUCUCUGAGGGAUAGAUUGCCAGAGAAGGGGAAGUUUCAGUCCAGGCAUAUGUGCAGAGCCUUGAUCAAUUGAGGAAAGGAAAGGCUGUUUUACACAAGAGAGAAGCUGAUGUUGUUUAUGCACUUCCUAGGUAGUUAGAAACAAACCUGUGGCAAGGCAGGCUCCUGGCAAACGGAAGUGCAAUUGUCGGCAAGAGAUGCGGACCACCCAGCUGGGCCCUGGGCGCUUCCAAAUGACCCAGGAGGUGGUCUGCGACGAAUGCCCUAAUGUCAAACUAGUGAAUGAAGAACGAACGCUGGAAGUAGAAAUAGAGCCUGGGGUGAGAGACGGCAUGGAGUACCCCUUUAUUGGAGAAGGCGAGCCUCACGUGGAUGGGGAGCCUGGAGAUUUACGGUUCCGAAUCAAAGUUGUCAAGCACCCAAUAUUUGAAAGGAGAGGAGAUGAUUUGUACACAAAUGUGACAAUCUCAUUAGUUGAGUCACUGGUUGGCUUUGAGAUGGAUAUUACUCACUUGGAUGGUCACAAGGUACAUAUUUCCCGGGAUAAGAUCACCAGGCCAGGAGCGAAGCUAUGGAAGAAAGGGGAAGGGCUCCCCAACUUUGACAACAACAAUAUCAAGGGCUCUUUGAUAAUCACUUUUGAUGUGGAUUUUCCAAAAGAACAGUUAACAGAGGAAGUGAGAGAAGGUAUCAAACAGCUACUGAAACAAGGGUCAGUGCAGAAGGUAUACAAUGGACUGCAAGGAUAUUAAGAGUGAAUAAAAUUGGACUUUGUUUAAAAUAAGUGAAUAAGCGAUAUUUAUUAUCUGCAAGGUUUUUUUGUGUGUGUUUUUGUUUUUAUUUUCAAUAUGCAAGUUAGGCUUAAUUUUUUUAUCUAAUGAUCAUCAUGAAAUGAAUAAGAGGGCUUAAGAAUUUGUCCAUUUGCAUUCAGAAAAGAAUGACCAGCAAAAGGUUUACUAAUACCUCUCCCUUUGGGGAUUUAAUGUCUGGUGCUGCCGCCUGAGUUUCAAGAAUUAAAGCUGCAAGAGGACUCCAGGAGCAAAAGAAACACAACAUAGAGGGUUGGAGUUGUUAGCAAUUUCAUUCAAAAUGCCAACUGGAGAAGUCUGUUUUUAAAUACAUUUUGUUGUUAUUUUU
rnacentral:sRNA from 1 species